UACGUAGGUGGCGAGCGUUAUCCGGAAUCAUUGGGCGUAAAGAGGGAGCAGGCGGCCGCAAGGGUCUGUGGUGAAAGACCGAAGCUAAACUUCGGUAAGCCAUGGAAACCGGGCGGCUAGAGUGCGGAAGAGGAUUGUGGAAUUCCAUGUGUAGCGGUGAAAUGCGUAGAUAUAUGGAGGAACACCAGUGGCGAAGGCGACGGUCUGGGCCGCAACUGACGCUCAUUCCCGAAAGCGUGGGGAGCAAAUAGG
rnacentral:rRNA from 1 species